AUGGCUGCAGGUGGAGCUUCCUUUCUUGCUGCUGUUGCUGUUUUCUCCAUGCUGAUUAUGUCGUCUCUGGGGAAUCCGAGGCCUUUAUGCAGUGACUGUGGGACGUUGUGCAGUACCAAGUGCAACGAGGAGGCUAAAAACUCCUGCAGUGGUACCUGCUACACCCUCGGGAGGGCUGUGAGAGGCAGAUCUUGGACCAGUGCAAAGCCGAGGGUACCUGCUGCAGUAGCAAUAGCACAUCAUGCACUUGUGACUGCAACACCAUAG
rnacentral:rRNA from 1 species